rnacentral:lncRNA from 1 species
CGCCGCCUCAUUUAAUCGCAUUGCCGUUUAUAGUGUUUGUUGUUGCUAUUUAUUUAUUUACAUUCUAGUUAGCACACAGCAGCACUAGAGCCCUCCGUUAGGAUUUCACGGGUCAAAGGGCUUCCCAUCGAUGAAUCGCGUGAUAAGGUCGAGCGCAACCUCGGGCUGGUCAUAGGGCAGGAUGUGACCGGCGUCUCUAACAAGGACCUGCGUGAAAUUUCCAACUUUCCGGACGUAUCCAGCGACACCGUUUCCGUCCGGUCUCUUCCAAAUCUUACGCUCCGCCUUGUCGAAAGCUUCCUUGCCCGAC